rnacentral:rRNA from 1 species
CCCUUAGACGUUCUGGGCCGCACGCGCGCUACACUGACCAGUGCAACAAGCAUCCGUCCUUGGCCGACAGGCCCGGGCAAUCUUUGAACGCUGGUCGUGAUGGGGAUAGACUUUUGCAAUUUUUGGUCUUCAACGAGGAAUGCCUAGUAAGCGCAAGUCAUCAGCUUGCGUUGAUUACGUCCCUGCCCUUUGUACACACCGCCCGUCGCUCCUACCGAUUGAAUGGUCCGGUGAAGCGUUCGGACCGUGGCCUUUGGACGGUUCGCCGUCUGUUGGCUGCGGGAAGUUCGUUAAACCUUAUCAUUUAGAGGAAGGAGAANUCGUAACA